UACAGAGGGUGCAAGCGUUAAUCGGAAUUACUGGGCGUAAAGCGUGCGUAGACGGUUACAUAAGUCGGGUGUGAAAGCCCCGGGCUCAACCUGGGAAUUGCAUUCGAGACUGCGUAGCUAGGGUGCGGAAGAGGGAAGCGGAAUUUCCGGUGUGAGCGGUGAAAUGCGUAGAUAUCGGAAGGAACACCAGUGGCGAAAGCGGCUUCCUGGUCCAGCACCGACGUCAGGCACGAAAGCGUGGGGAGCAAACAGG
rnacentral:rRNA from 1 species